CGCGUAGGCGGCCUGAUAAGUAGGGGGUGAAAUCUUGCGGCUUAACCGCAAGGCUGCCUUCUAAACUGUCAGGCUCGAGCACAGUAGAGGCAGGUGGAAUUCCCGGUGUAGUGGUGAAAUGCGUAGAUAUCGGGAGGAACACCAGUGGCGAAGGCGAUCUUCUGGUCUGUUUCUGACACUCAGACGCGACAGCUAGGGUAGUAAACG
rnacentral:rRNA from 1 species